AUUGAACGCUGGCGGCAUGCUUUACACAUGCAAGUCGAACGGUAACAGGCCGCAAGGUGCUGACGAGUGGCGAACGGGUGAGUAAUGCAUCGGAACGUGCCCAGUCGUGGGGGAUAACGCAGCGAAAGCUGCGCUAAUACCGCAUACGAUCUAUGGAUGAAAGCGGGGGACCGUAAGGCCUCGCGCGAUUGGAGCGGCCGAUGUCAGAUUAGGUAGUUGGUGGGGUAAAGGCUCACCAAGCCAACGAUCUGUAGCUGGUCUGAGAGGACGACCAGCCACACUGGGACUGAGACACGGCCCAGACUCCUACGGGAGGCAGCAGUGGGGAAUUUUGGACAAUGGGCGCAAGCCUGAUCCAGCAAUGCCGCGUGCAGGAAGAAGGCCUUCGGGUUGUAAACUGCUUUUGUACGGAACGAAGCGGUCCUGGUUAAUACCUGGGGCUCAUGACGGUACCGUAAGAAUAAGCACCGGCUAACUACGUGCCAGCAGCCGCCGUAAAAC
rnacentral:rRNA from 1 species